rnacentral:rRNA from 1 species
AUUGAACGCUGGCGGCAGGCCUAACACAUGCAAGUCGAACGAGUGGCGGACGGGUGAGUAAUGUCUGGGAAACUGCCUGAUGGAGGGGGAUAACUACUGGACACUGUCGCUAAUACCGCAUACCCUCGGAUGUGCCCAGAUGGGUUUAUCUAGUAGGUGGGGUAAAGGCUCACCUAGGCGACGAUCCCUAGCUGGUCUGAGAGGAUGAACAGCCACACUGGAACUGAGAAACGGUCCAGACUCCUACGGGAGGCAGCAGUGGGGAAUAUUGCACAAUGGGCGCAAGCCUGAUGCAGCCCUGCCGCGUGUAUGAAGAAGGCCUUCGGGUUGUAAAGUACUUUCAGCGGGGAGGCGUUACCCGCAGAAGAAGCACCGGCUAACUCCGUGCCAGCAGCCGCGGUAAUAC